rfam:Otolemur garnettii contig018466, whole genome shotgun sequence.
GCCAGGUGGUGGCAAGUGCCUGUAUCCCAGCUACUCGGGAGGAUGAGACAGGAGAAUCUCUUGAGUCCAGGAGUUCUGGGCUGUAGUGUGCUAUGCUAAUCAGGUGUCUGCACUAAGUUCAGCAUCAAUAUGGUGACCUUCUGGGGGCAGGGGACGGGGCAGGGCACAAGGUUGCCUAAGGAGGGUGAACCAGCCCAGGUCAGAAACGGAGCCGGUCAAAGCUCCUGGGCUGAUCAGUAGUGGGAUUGUGCCUGGGCUACUGCACUCCAGCCUGGGCAACAUAGUAAGACCCUGUCUCCU